rnacentral:rRNA from 1 species
AUUGAACGCUGGCGGCAGGCCUAACACAUGCAAGUCGAGCGGAUGAAGGGAGCUUGCUCCUGGAUUCAGCGGCGGACGGGUGAGUAAUGCCUAGGAAUCUGCCUGGUAGUGGGGGAUAACGUCCGGAAACGGGCGCUAAUACCGCAUACGUCCUGAGGGAGAAAGUGGGGGAUCUUCGGACCUCACGCUAUCAGAUGAGCCUAGGUCGGAUUAGCUAGUUGGUGGGGUAAAGGCCUACCAAGGCGACGAUCCGUAACUGGUCUGAGAGGAUGAUCAGUCACACUGGAACUGAGACACGGUCCAGACUCCUACGGGAGGCAGCAGUGGGGAAUAUUGGACAAUGGGCGAAAGCCUGAUCCAGCCAUGCCGCGUGUGUGAAGAAGGUCUUCGGAUUGUAAAGCACUUUAAGUUGGGAGGAAGGGAAGUAAGUUAAUACCUUGCUGUUUUGACGUUACCAACAGAAAAAGCACCGGCUAACUUCGUG